rnacentral:rRNA from 1 species
GACGAACGCUGGCGGCGUGCUUAACACAUGCAAGUCGAACGGAAAGGCCCUGCUUUUGUGGGGUGCUCGAGUGGCGAACGGGUGAGUAACACGUGAGUAACCUGCCCUUGACUUUGGGAUAACUUCAGGAAACUGGGGCUAAUACCGGAUAGGAGCUCCUGCUGCAUGGUGGGGGUUGGAAAGUUUCGGCGGUUGGGGAUGGACUCGCGGCUUAUCAGCUUGUUGGUGGGGUAGUGGCUUACCAAGGCUUUGACGGGUAGCCGGCCUGAGAGGGUGACCGGCCACAUUGGGACUGAGAUACGGCCCAGACUCCUACGGGAGGCAGCGGUGGGGAAUAUUGCACAAUGGGUGGAAGCCUGAUGCAGCAACGCCGUGGGCGGGAUGACGGCCUUCGGGUUGUAAACCGCUUUCGCUCAUGACGAAGCUUUGUGUGACGGUAGUGGGUAAAGAAGCACCGGCUAACUACGUG